rnacentral:rRNA from 1 species
AUUGAACGCUGGCUGCAGGCCUAACACAUGCAAGUCGAACGAGUGGCGGACGGGUGAGUAAUGUCUGGGAAACUGCCCGAUGGAGGGGGAUAACUACUGGAAACGGUAGCUAAUACCGCAUACCAUCGGAUGUGCCCAGAUGGGAUUAGCUUGUAGGUGAGGGAACGGCUCACCUAGGCGACGAUCCCUAGCUGGUCUGAGAGGAUGACCAGGCAUAAUGGAACUGCGACACGGUCCAGACGCCUACGGGAGGAAGCAGUGGUGAAGAUGGCAGAAUGGGCGCAAGCCUGAUGCAGCCAUGCCGCGGGUAUGAAGAAGGCCUUCGGGUUGGAAAGUACUGUCAGCGGGGAGGCGUUACCCGCAGAAGAAGCACCGGCUAACUCCGUGCCAGCAGCCGCGGUAAUUC